CGCAGGAUCAGCGAGUUUGCUUAAGUAGGGACAAUUCCCCCAUAGCUUUAAGGCUGAGCUUCGCUCUCCACUCAGCCCUUCUUAUUCCCAGCAAGAUAACCAGUCUAAAAAAAGGAGAAAAAAAAAUGCCACCCUUGGCAUCUUCUUUGUCCCUUUUCUAUCUGCUCUCGUUUCCAUGGAAACCCAAAACCAUUUGCCUCCCUCUCUCAGCUAUGCCUUCUCUCCUACCCCAGGCCUGCCUGGUUGUUUUCCCCAGGCUCCCAGAAAGCCAUGUUUAGGAUUCCUCCCCUUGUCUUCAGACUUCCCAGCUGCCUCCAACAUUCUUUUGUCUCUUGUUCCAAAAAGGCAAAAAUGGCCUUUUCCAGCAGCUGCUCCCUCGAAGUCUCCAUAGCAGCCCUACUGUGUGUGGGAUUUGUCAGUGGGCCACCAUAAUGCAUGAAGAGGCCUCAAACCAAGGCCAGAGUAGGGAGGACACUGCCGGGGCUCUGCAAGAGGCAGCAAAGCCCACUUCAGCAUCCCUAUCGUGGUGACGUUGGGACAUCACCUGACCAGGUGAAGCCCCUGGGGUCCAGAGGUCAGAAGGAACUGUCCAACGUCAAACCAAACCAAACCCUUCAGGAGAAGAAAGAUCUGGUGGCCUAUUCUGCAUGCUGCUUCAGGCUGCCACUGUCCUGCUGGACUGUGACAUCCUUGAAGUGGGAGCUGGACUCAACUCACCUUGCUCCUCUUACUCACCUGAAUCCAGUGCAGGGUGAGGCACAGGGAGGCACCCUCCUCUCCAUUCUGAUUUCUCUGCGGAGCCAGGUCUUCCCAGCUGCAUUCCUGUGGGUCAAAGCCAAGGAACAGCUCUCCUCUUACACUAGCAAAUCCUAUUAUGGAGUCUUUUUCUCAGCUAUAUAAUUUGUCUCCUUGAUAAGACAGAAUUAUGAACUCACAUUCUGUGAACUCAUAACAAGGCCUGCCACUGACAUUUGUAAGGCAUCUGUCUUAGUCAAGGUUUCUAUUUCUGCACAAACAUCAUGACCAAGAAGCAAGUUAGGGUGGAAAGGGUUUAGUCAGCUUACAUUUCCACAUUGCUGUUCAUCACCAAAGGAAGUCAGGACUGGAACUCAAGCAGGUCAGGAAGCAGGAGAUGAUACAGAGGCCAUGGAGGGAUGUUCCUUACUGGCUUGCUUACCCUGGCUUGCUCACUUUGCUCUCUUAUAGAACCCAAGACUACCAGUCCAGGGAUGGUACCACCCACAAGGGGCCCUACCCCCUUGAUCACUAAUUGAGAAAAUGCCCCACAGCUGGAUCUCAUGGAGGCAUUUCCUCACCUGAAGCUCCUUUCUCUGUGAUAACUCCAGCUGUGUCAAGUUGACACACAAAACCAGGCAGUACAGCAUCUAUGUGAAACAUGGUCUCAAGAAAGAGAGAAUCAGGGACAGAAUUAGAAGGAAAGAGACCUUAAGAAGAGGAAAGAAAUGACAUUCCCUGAGUUACUACAAUUGCCCAGUGCUCCGUAAGGCAAGGGGACCCCUUUGAGCACAGGGUCCCCAAGGCUCAGGCUGCAUUUCAUUCAAUCUAAAAGAGGGAAGAAAACAUUGUGAUUCACAGUGGACUGGGACUCAGCUCCUCCAUCUUCAAACCCAAAGCACAGGACCGGCAUCGGUUGUAUUAAUUCCCCACUCCCGCCCCAGUCCAUGCUCUGGGCAAAACCUUUGCGUCCACACAUUAAUCACUGGCUGUCACUGGCCCCGGGUUGGGGGAACACGCUGCUAAGUAAAACCUCAAUGGGAAGGGUAGGAUCUGCAGAGCUACCAUGAGUCACAGAGCAGCCCUCCAGCCUCUGCAAGGCGAGAUUUGGUUGAAAAGUUUGCAGGCAUGGCAAACUGAACGUGGGUGGGGGUGCCGAGAUAAG
ensembl:lncRNA